AUGGGAACGCGAAGAACCUUACCUACUCUUGACAUCCAGAGAACUUUCCAGAGAUGGAUUGGUGCCUUCGGGAACUCUGAGACAGGUGCUGCAUGGCUGUCGUCAGCUCGUGUUGUGAAAUGUUGGGUUAAGUCCCGCAACGAGCGCAACCCGUUAUCCUUUGUUGCCAGCGGUCCGGCCGGGAACUCAAAGGAGACUGCCAGUGAUAAACUGGAGGAAGGUGGGGAUGACGUCAAGUCAUCAUGGCCCUUACGAGUAGGGCUACACACGUGCUACAAUGGCGCAUACAAAGAGAAGCGACCUCGCGAGAGCAAGCGGACCUCAUAAAGUGCGUCGUAGUCCGGAUUGGAGUCUGCAACUCGACUCCAUGAAGUCGGAAUCGCUAGUAAUCGUAGAUCAGAAUGCUACGGUGAAUACGUUCCCGGGUCUUGUACACACCG
rnacentral:rRNA from 1 species